UACGAAGGGGGCUAGCGUUGCUCGGAAUGACUGGGCGUAAAGGGCGCGUAGGCGGCGAUCAAAGUCAGGCGUGAAAUCCCUCAGCUUAACUGGGGAACUGCGCCUGAUACUGGUUGGCUUGAGUUUGGGAGAAGGACGCGGAAUUCCAGGUGUAGCGGUGAAAUGCGUAGAUAUCUGGAGGAACACCGGUGGCGAAGGCGGCGUCCUGGACCAAUACUGACACUGAGGAGCGAAAGCCAGGGGAGCAAACGGG
rnacentral:rRNA from 1 species